rnacentral:rRNA from 1 species
GACGAACGCUGGCGGCGUGCUUAACACAUGCAAGUCGUACGGUAAGGCCCUUCAGGGGGUACACGAGCGGCGAACGGGUGAGUAACACGUGAGUAACCCGCCCACAACUUUGGGUUAACGCUAGGAAACUGGUGCUAAUACAGGCUAUGUCCUCCUGCCGCAUGGUGGGGGUUGGAAAGCUCCGGGCGUUGUGGUUGGACUCGCGGACUAUCAGCUUGUUGGUGGGGUAGUGGCCUACCAAGGCGGCGGCCGGUAGGCGGCCUGAGAGGGUGACCGGCCAAAUUGGGGCUGAGGUACGGCCCGAAAUCCUACGGGAAGGAGAAAUGGGGAAUAUUGCUCAAUGGGGGCAAGGCUGGUGCAGCAACGGCGCGGGCGGGGAGACGGGCUUCGGGUUGUAAACCGCAUUCAGCAGGGGCGGAGCUUUUAGUGACGGUACCUGCAGAAGAAGCACCGGCUAACUACGUG